rnacentral:rRNA from 1 species
UUAUGCCUACGGGGCGCAGCAGUGGGGGAUAUUGCACAAUGGGGGAAACCCUGAUGCAGCGACGCCGCGUGAGUGAAGAAGUAUUUCGGUACGUAAAGCUCUAUCAGCAGGGAAGAAUAAUGACAGUACCUGACUAAGAAGCCCCGGCUAACUACGUGCCAGCAGCCGCGGUAAUACGUAGGGGGCAAGCGUUAUCCGGAUUCACUGGGCGUAAAGGGAGCGCAGGCGGCAUGGCAAGUCUGAUGUGAAAACACGGGGCCCAACACCGG